AUGGAAUUAAUUGCUAAAAAUAUAAAAUACAAACUUUAUUUCUCAACACAGUCAGCAUCAAGUUCAAUGCAAAGUCCUUCUUACAGAUGGAUAAGGACUCUUCUUUUCACUGAUAAUAAAGUUGGUUCACCAGGAAGACAUAAUUAUUUUAAUGUGUGUCUAGGGGCCGGCACUGUGGCGUAGUGGGUAAAGCCACCACCUGCAGUGCCGGUGUCCCAUAUGGGCACCGGUUUGAGUCCCAGCUGCUCCACUUCCAAUCCAGCUCUCUGCUAUGGCCUAGGAAAGCAGUAGAAGAUGGCCCAAGUCCUUGGGCCCCUGCACCUAUGUGGGAGAUUUAAGGUCCUGGGUUUCAGCACCAAUGUAAGGCCGCCACAAAACACACCAGACACCGGAGUAAGGGAAAGGGUUUAUUAGGGAAAACCCAGCAGACCAGAGGGAAGGGGCGAAGAAGGAAAAAGAGAGCAGGUGUCCAGGAAGCAGGUCUAAUAUCCCUUUUCCAGGGGCGGGCAGGAAGUAGGAAUAGCAAAUCCCAUUAGGUUGGGGAUGGAGCUUGACUCCGGUGGUUGGGCCAUGUGGUUUCCUGGCUUUCAGCAAUGGCGGCAGGGGCUAGGGCCUACGAUGGUGUCAGGGUGUAGACCGUGCCAUAGGUAAGACUGCGCCAUUUUCCUUACAGGAGACCCAGAAGAAGCUCCAGGCUCCUGGCUUCAGCUCAGCGCAGCCCCAUUAGGGAAGUGAACCAGUGGAUAGAAGAUCUCUCUCUCUCUGCCUCUGUGACUAUGCCUUUCAAAUACAUAAAUCUUUUUUUUUUAAAGAUUUUAUUUAUUUAUUUGAGAGGUAGAGUUACAGACAGAGAAAGGGAGAGACAGAGAGAAAGGUCUUCCUUCCAUUGAUUCACUUCCCAAAUGGCCGCAAUGGCCGGAGCUGCACCGAUCUUAAGCCAGGAGACAGGAGCCUCUUCCUGGUCUGCCAUGCGGGUGCAGGGGCCCAAGAACUUGGGCCAUCCUGAGGACAUUGCUUUCCCAGGCCACAGCAGAAAGCUGGAUCAGAAGAGGAGCAGCUAGGACUAGAACCAGUGCCCAUAUGGGAUGCUGGUGCUGCAGGCGGAGGAUUAACUGCACUAUGGUGCCAGCCCCCAUAAAUCUUUUUUUAAAAAAAUGUUUCUAAUAGCAGAGCUUCAAAAUAAAUUAAGCAAAAUUGACA
rnacentral:lncRNA from 1 species